rnacentral:rRNA from 1 species
UACGUAGGGUGCGAGCGUUGUCCGGAAUUAUUGGGCGUAAAGAGCUUGUAGGUGGCUCGUCGCGUCGGGAGUGAAAACCCGCGGCUUAACCGCGGGCCUGCUUUCGAUACGGGCGGGCUAGAGUUCGGCAGGGGAGACUGGAAUUCCUGGUGUAGCGGUGAAAUGCGCAGAUAUCAGGAGGAACACCGGUGGCGAAGGCGGGUCUCUGGGCCGAUACUGACACUGAGGAGCGAAAGCGUGGGGAGCGAACAGG